rfam:Lentinula edodes NBRC 111202 DNA, contig: scaffold1914.
AAGACUUUAGCAUAACGGUAAUGCAAUUCGCUCAUAAUGGAUAAGAUAAAGGUUCGAUUCCUUUAGGUCUUA